AAUUAUUGAGUCUUUCCCUUUAGAUUGCUUUUGAGUUUGUAAAAGAAUUCGAAAACAUCUAAAGGGGAUGGUCAAUAAUUUUUUUGAAAAAAGACAUUUUUUAAAAUUAAACUUUUUGUAUUCAUUUGUCUAAAAAUUAUUUUUUAUAAUAUAAAAACAACUUUUGACAAUGGAUCUCUUGGUUCUCGCAACGAUGAAGAACGCAGCAAAAUGCGAUAAGUAGUGUGAAUUGCAGAAUACGUGAAUCAUCGAAUCUUUGAACGCAUAUUGCACUUUUUUAGUUUACUAAAAAAGUAUGUCUGUUUGAGUAUCAGUAAAAUAUUCUCAUAAAAUCAUUGUGUAUUUUUAUGGUUAUGAGUGUUUUACAACGAUACAAGUUGUUUCACUUUAAAUUUUUUUUUAAUAUUGAAAUUUUUCUAAUUUUAAUAAUUAAAAUUGGAUAAAAUUUUCCCGUCAAAAGGAAUAACCUAAACAAUUUUAAAUGAUUAAUUUUAGCAAAAUUUUCGAAAAAAAGGAAAAUUUUUAUUAAAAUAACUUGAUCUCAAAUCAGAUAAGAGUACCCGCUGAACUUAAGCAUAUCAAUAAGCGGAGGAAAAGAAACUAACAAGGAUUCCCUUAGUAACGGCGAGUGAAGCGGGAAGAGCUCAAAUUUGAAAUCUUCAAGGUUUUACCUUGACGAAUUGUAGUUUAAAGAAGUGUUUUCUGCUGAAGUUUUGGUAAAAGUUCUUUGGAAUAGGACAUCAUAGAGGGUGAGAAUCCCGUAUUUGACCAUUAUUUUCAGCUUUGUGAUACACUUUCAAAGAGUCGGAUUGUUUGGGAAUGCAGUCCAAAAUGGGUGGUAAAUUUCAUCUAAAGCUAAAUAUUGGCGAGAGACCGAUAGCGAACAAGUACCGUGAGGGAAAGAUGAAAAGAACUUUGAAAAGAGAGUUAAACAGUACGUGAAAUUGUCAAAAGGGAAGCGUUUGACACCAGUGUUGUUUUCUCGAAAAUCAAUUAAAAAUGGCUCGAUUUUGUAUUGCUGAGACCUUAAAAGCUCACUGUACAUUUUUCGUGUCUUUUUUAAUGCACUUUUCGUUUAACAAGUCAACAUCAGUUUCUUUUGUUGUAAAAGGGUCAUUGGAAGGUGGCUUCUUUUCGGAGAAAGUGUUUAUAGCCUUUGGCCUCUGCAAUCGAAGAGACUGAGGUCUGCAGCGUAGACUCUUCGGGGUUAGAUACAUUUGUGCUAAGUUAUAGCUUUUUAUAGACAACUUGUUGACUAUAAUUAGUCUUGUAGCUUACUCGCUUAUGCUAUUUUAC
rnacentral:misc_RNA from 1 species